rnacentral:rRNA from 1 species
AUGGUUGGUCCUUUGAGAACAGGUCGAAGUGGCUUCACGCACGUACUGGUGGCAGUCGACAAGUUCACCAAGUGGAUUGAGGCUAAACCAAUCAAGAACCUUGACGCCGAUACUGUUGUGAGCUUCAUCAGGGAACUGAUAUUUAGAUAUGGGGUCCCGCACAGCAUCAUUACGGAUAAUGGGUCGAACUUUGACUCGGAGGAAUUCAGGGAUUUCUGCAACUCUCAAGGCACACGAGUCGACUACUCUUCAGUUGCCCAUCCGCAGACGAAUGGACAAGCAGAGCGAGCCAAUGGCCUGAUUCUCAAGGAUUGA